UGUGGCCAUGUAGUGUGGAAACACUCGUUCCCAUACAAUCACUGAAGUUAAGCAAUGUUGUGCCUGGUCAUUAUCUAAAAGGGUGACCCCUCAAGAAUACCAGGUUCUGUAAG